AAACCAACUCUCAGCAACGGAUAUCUUGGCUCUUGCAACGAUGAAGAACGCAGCGAAAUGCGAUACGUAGUGUGAAUUGCAGAAUUCCGCGAAUCAUCGAGUCUUUGAACGCAAGUUGCGCCCGAGGCUUGUCCGAGGGCAUUUCCGCUAGAGCGUCACCG
rnacentral:rRNA from 1 species